rnacentral:tRNA from 1 species
GCCGAAGUGGUGGAACUGGUAGACACGCCAUCUUGAGGGGGUGGUGGGUGAAAGCCUGUGGGGGUUCGAGUCCCCCCUUCGGCA